rnacentral:tRNA from 1 species
GGGCCCGUAGCUCAGUCUGGUAGAGCAUCCGGCUUUUAACCGGGCGGUCGCGGGUUCGAAUCCCGUCGGGCCCA